rnacentral:rRNA from 1 species
UGGGGAAUAUUGCACAAUGGGCGAAAGCCUGAUGCAGCGACGCCGCGUGCGGGAUGAAGGCCUUCGGGUUGUAAACCGCUUUUAAUUGGGAGCAAGCGAGAGUGAGUGUACCUUUUGAAUAAGCACCGGCUAACUACGUGCCAGCAGCCGCGGUAAUACGUAGGGUGCAAGCGUUAUCCGGAAUUAUUGGGCGUAAAGAGCUCGUAGGCGGUUUGUCACGCCUGGUGUGAAAGUCCAUCGCUUAACGGUGGAUCUGCGCCGGGUACGGGCAGGCUAGAGUGCAGUAGGGGAGAUUGGAAUUCCCGGUGUAACGGUGGAAUGUGUAGAUAUCGGGAAGAACACCAAUGGCGAAGGCAGAUCUCUGGGCUGUUACUGACGCUGAGGAGCGAAAGCAUGGGGAGCGAACAGGAUUAGAUACCCUGGUAGUCCAUGCCGUAAAACGGUGGAUGCUGGAUGUGGGACCCUUCCACGGGUUCCGUGUCGGAGCUAACGCGUUAAGCAUCCCGCCUGGGGGAGUACGGCCGCAAGGCUAA